CAGUCGCCACGGUAAUACGAAGGGUGCAAGCGUUACUCGGAAUUACUGGGCGUAAAGCGUGCGUAGGUGGUUGUUUAAGUCUGCUGUGAAAGCCCUGGGCUCAACCUGGGAAUUGCAGUGGAUACUGGGUCACUAGAGUGUGGUAGAGGAUAGUGGAAUUUCCGGUGUAGCAGUGAAAUGCGUAGAGAUCGGAAGGAACAUCUGUGGCGAAGGCGACUAUCUGGGCCAACACUGACACUGAGGCACGAAAGCGUGGGGAGCAAACAGGAUUAGAUACCCCUGUAGUCCCUGUCUCUUAUAC
rnacentral:rRNA from 1 species